rnacentral:rRNA from 1 species
AUUGAACGCUGGCGGCAUGCCUUACACAUGCAAGUCGAACGGUAACAGGCUGCAAGGUGCUGACGAGUGGCGAACGGGUGAGUAAUGCAUCGGAACGUGCCCAGUAGUGGGGGAUAGCCCGGCGAAAGCCGGAUUAAUACCGCAUACGACCUGAGGGUGAAAGGGGGGGAUCGCAAGACCUCUCGCUAUUGGAGCGGCCGAUGUCAGAUUAGCUAGUUGGUGGGGUAAAGGCCUACCAAGGCAACGAUCUGUAGUUGGUCUGAGAGGACGACCAGCCACACUGGGACUGAGACACGGCCCAGACUCCUACGGGAGGCAGCAGUGGGGAAUUUUGGACAAUGGGCGCAAGCCUGAUCCAGCAAUGCCGCGUGCAGGAAGAAGGCCUUCGGGUUGUAAACUGCUUUUGUCAGGGAAGAAAUCUUCUGGGUUAAUACCUCGGGAGGAUGACGGUACCUGAAGAAUAAGCACCGGCUAACUACGUGCCAGCAGCCGCCGUAAGAC